GGCAGACACCAAUGUGACGCUGCCAUGGGCCCUCAGCUCCUGGGCUGUGUCAUGCUUUGUCUCCUGGGAGCAGGUCCCACAGAAGCCGAAGUGACCCAGACCCCAAGACACCUCAUCACAGAGACCAAAAAGAAGUUGACAGUGACUUGUUCUCAGAAUAUGAACCAUGACGCGAUGUACUGGUAUCGACAAGACCCAGGGCUGGGUCUAAAGCUGAUCUAUUAUUCAAUUAAUGUUGAUCAUUUUGAAAAGGGAGAGGUUUCUGAGGGGUACACGGUGUCUCGAACAGAGAAGGGGAAUUUCCCUUUGACCCUGGAGUCAGCCAACAUCAGCCAGACCUCUCUGUAUCUCUGUGCCAGCAGGUAA